CAUUGUCGGCUUAACGAUCGGAAUGUUCCAUUUAGAGCAAUGUAGGAAUUUGUGAAGUAGUCAACUACGAUCGACUCGAUGAAAGAAACACUCGUUACAUUCUUAAAGACCGCGCCGAAGUGUAUCCGAAGAAGGAAGUUCUAGCAUCGGCUAUACUUGUGCAGCUAUUCCAUUGCUCGAACGACAUUGAAAGUUCAAGUAGAAGAAACCAGUUUAUCUUUGCCAUCCGUUUAAAAUUUAAAACAGUUCUUGAAUUUCUCAUCCAACACUAACUCGAAGGAAAUCCAGUUGAUAGGAAGAAAACAACGAAUUUUUAAGCUUUCAGUUAUAUAUAAAAAACAGUGAAAAAAGGAGUGAAAGAG